CCAAAGGCUCUUUUCAGAGCCACCCCCGUAUUCAUGAAAAGGGCUU
rfam:Felis catus isolate Cinnamon breed Abyssinian chromosome B2, whole genome shotgun sequence.